rnacentral:sRNA from 1 species
CUGUCCGCACCGUGGGACGCCUGAGUCGCCUCGCGGCCCUGCACGGUUAAGCUGGCCCGAUGCGCCUCCCGCCGGAGGCGCAAAGCCGACAGCCGUCGCACUCCAGGGAGCAGAUCCAUG